rnacentral:rRNA from 1 species
AUGGGGCGCCGCUCUGGAGGAGGAGGAGGCGGCGGCGGCUUCCGCAGCGCGCCACGGCCCGCAGCCCCUGCACCCAAGCCGGCGGCCAAGCAGUCGUCCGCCCCGGCGCCGGCCAAGACCGACAGCAGCAGCGCCCCGACCUCCAUCUUCGGAUCCAUCGGCUCUGCCGUCGCCGACGGGGUCGGGUGGGGCGUCGGGACCAGCAUGGCGCACCGGGCCAUGGAUUCCAUAAUGGGCCCGCGCACCGUCAGGGUCGUCGAGGAGCCGGCGCCCGCCGCGGACGCGUGCGGCAUCCAGAACCAGGCCUUCAGCAACUGCAUCUACGGCAACGAGAGCGACAUCAGCAGGUGCCAGAACUACUUCGACCUGCUCUGCCAGUGCCGCCGCGGAGGAGGAGCAGGAGGAGCGGCCACCAUCGCAUAA